rnacentral:lncRNA from 1 species
AGGGGGGAGGACAAGAUGUCUUAAAAUCUAGGAACCGCGCCGGGCGGAAAGGAGGGAAGAAUGUGAGCGCUGGCAGAGGGUAGUCGGGAAACAGCGUCAAAUCCCUAAUUUAAGAUAGAAUUGGGGUCUGCGACACCCUUCCCCUCCUCGGCUGUGGACAAGACUCGCUUUCGGGGACAGCAAGGGCGCAAGCCUGGGGAUCGCGGAGGUCCGCGGGCCUUGACCUUGUCUCCUCUUUCUACCUGCCAACGCCUUAGACGAUGCUUCUGUGCUUUAGAACCUAGAAAUCGAUGGGGGCGGGGAGCAGGGAGCAAGGCCGGCUGGAGAGGUGCCCCGAGCCCCCGGCGAGAGGAGCGCCAGACGCGCGCGCGGUUCGGGGAAGCGCUGUGCCCUCGGGGCCGCGACCAGGCCGGCUCUGCUGCAGGCGCGCGGCGGCGGCCAUGAGACUCGCGCAGGGCAGUUCAAACCACCCUUUCCCCCUCAGAGCCCAGGCGCGGCAUUUGGUGGGGUGGAGAAGGUUAUGACUGAAAAUAACCCGGGGCUCGGAUCCGUUUGGCUGGAGAUCUGAGCGCCAGCGCGGAGGUGGGGAGAGGCUGAGAAUCAGCGAGCGAAGAACUGCGGCCUCGCCUGUGGCGCGCUCAGGGCUCUGGCCCCCGCUGAUGAAUUUCUUCCCCAUCACCGAUUUCUCCUCACGGCGAAUGUCCCUGAAUCUCCCUGUGGCCGCUCCGUCAGGGCGCUCAGUGUGUCUGCGGACAAAAGUGGUGGGGGGCGAAAACCCAGCCCCGGUCUAUGGCAGUGCCACAGGGGGAACCCGACUUUCCAAAGUCUGUGCACUCAGGGUUCCCGGCACAGAAACGGGGUCUGAGGUCUGUUUCCGGCUCCAGUCUGUCCCUGCUUCACUCCUGGGCUCACUCCGCAAGGACGAUCUGGUUUAGACGGGACGGGGGCCACCCCCAACUGGCCCGGAGCUACCCGGAUUCUCACCCAGGCCCGCCCAGAAGAGCUUUCAGAAACUCGACCGCCAAGUUAAAAUCAGAGGCAGUUUUCUUCUGCUAUCUCUGGGCUGCAUGUGGGGUUAUGGCGCUGGACGACACGCCACACUUUGCUCAGGAACUGGUCAAAGAUGGAGAAGGCCCAGAGCGCCCUCUCAGCGAGUCUACUUUGGCACAGUAUCUGAGUCCCCUGCAGGGGCGCGCAAAGUGCCGCGCUCUGGUGGGAGAGGAGUGCUUGCCCAGAUAA